AAAAAAUUAAAAUAAAUUACUAAAAAAGUAAAUAAUUAUUUAUUGAAACUUAAAUAAUUUGGCGGUAUUUUAGUUCAUUUAGAGGAAUCUGUCUAGUAAUUGAUAUUCCACGAAUAAUCAUAUUUAAUUUAUAAUUUUAUAUAUCGUUGUUAAAAAAAUAUUUUUUAAUAAAAAUAAUAUUUUAAAAUUUUAAUUAGAAAUUAAUUCAGAUCAAGAUGUAGAUAAUAAUUAAAAUAUAAGAUGGAUUACAAUAUAUUUAUAUAAAUGGAUAAUAAUUUUGAAAAAUUUAUUUGAAGGUGGAUUUAAAUGUAAUUUUAAAUAAUUUUUUAAAAUGAUUAAUAAUUGAAAUAUGUACAUAUUGCCCGUCACUUUCAUUUAAAAAUUGAAAUAAGUCGUAACAAAGUAGGGGUACUGGAAAGUGUUCCUAGAAAGA
rnacentral:rRNA from 1 species